rnacentral:rRNA from 1 species
UGAGGAAUAUUGGUCAAUGGGCGGGAGCCUGAACCAGCCAAGUCGCGUGAAGGAAGAAGGAUCUAUGGUUCGUAAACUUCUUUUGCAGGGGAAUAAAGUGCAGGACGUGUCCUGUUUUGUAUGUACCCUGAGAAUAAGGAUCGGCUAAAUCCGUGCCAGCAGCCGCGGUAAUACGGAGGAUCCGAGCGUUAUACGGAUUUACUGGGUGUAAAAGGCGCGCAGGCGGGAUAAAAAGUCAGUGGUGAAAUCCUACAGCUUAACUGUAUAACUGCCUUUGAUACUUUUAUUCGUGAGUUCGGGAGAGAGGUACGGAAUUCCAGGUGUAGGUGUGAAAUACGUAGAUAUCUGGAAGAACACCAGUUGCGCAGGCUGUCUCUUGGUCCGACACUGACGCUGAGUCGCGAAAGCGUGGGGAGCAAA